AGCGAAGCCGACAAAGAAGAAGAGAGGCCCCGUCACAGGGAAGGCUCUCGAGAAGAUCGUGGGUACCGUGGGGAGGAUCGUCAUCAAUACUGACGGGGAUGGCCACAUAGUAUCGGGCGGGAAGUCGAGGACGUACUCCGGCCGCGUGGGAGCGCUCAUUAGGGAUAGAGUCCCUAUGUUGUGGUCAGACUGGGGCGAGGUCCCGCAGGAGGUUAAGGACAUGGUCCACAACGCGAUGUCGGUGAGUUUACAAAAUAAUAUUAUGCAUUACAUUGUUGAUUUCUCGAAAAACUAAACUAAUAAACGGUUAAAUACAGGUGUGGUUUGAGGUUCCCGAGCACCUUAAGGACAGCUGGGCCGACGUUGUGCAUGGGGGAAGGUACGUUGGGAAGUUAAUGAAAAACAAAAUUGAAUGUGAUAUUAAUAAUAUUUCUAAUAUUUUUGUUGUGUCUGUAGGUACAAGGAGUGGAAGAACGAGUUGCGGACCCAUUGGACUACGCACGGGAACGCACGUUCUGGUACCCCUGCUGAGUUCCAGUACAGGGAGUACGAGUGGCGUUGGCUUCUGACAUCAGAAUUCAACAACCCUCGUAAACAGGUAUUUAAAAAAUUAAUUAGUUAAUUUGUCAUUAAGUACGUCCGUUUUUAAAUAUUUUACUAAUAAUUUAUUUUUUCUUUGAAGGCCGUUUCCCGAGCGAACUCUCAGAACCGGCAACGCAACACAAGGAACCAUCAUGGCGGUUCUAGACCGUUCGCUGUCUUCAUGGACGAGGCGGCCAGGGAACAUCCAGAGGUCAACCCGUACGUCUAUACGUACGAGAAGCAUAUCCUGACUCCCAGGAGGAUAUUGUAAGUCAUUCUACGUUUUUAAAUUUNNNNNNNNNNNNNNNNNNNNGCCGCCGCAACCUCCGCCGCAAC
rnacentral:lncRNA from 1 species